GUCUUCGUGGCCUAGUUGGUUAGGGCGUAGGUCUCAUACGAGAACCACCGCACCGGUGCAUCAACGAUCCUGCUCACGCAGGAACAAACCUACGAACUGCUAAAAGUUCAUGACAUCCUAAGAUCGCGAGUUCGACUCUCGCCGAGGACA